UCCUGACUUCUCACUAACUUCUCCAAACGAAGCCUCUCUAUUUCUCUCUGUUAAAUCAAUCUCAAUGUUCUUCUUUGAUUGCUCAUAGUAAUUCAGGAUUGUUUGCUCAGCAUCCUCCAGUUGUUGCUGAAGAUCUGACGUCAGGUUGCUGUUGCAUCAGACAAAAGUCUGAAUUCAUUCGACGUGAUUGUUUAUAUAUGGAUGAACAAGAAGAGGGACAAUCUUGUUGGGACAUUUUGCUGAAGAAAGAAGUCUUUCACAGUGAGACGUUAGCGGCAGGCAAAUUAAGCUAUUCUUGAUAUGGGUUACUGAGCUGUACAGAGAAAUAGAUUUUCUCUUCCUCAAAAAAUAAUAAAAAAAAAAGAAAUGGAUGUAAAUCUUA